rnacentral:sRNA from 1 species
ACUCAACAGCCUUGAAAACACACACGUACCGGCACAUGGUCCCGGGUGCUGCCGCGGUUCUUCCCGGCGGUCGGAUCCAUGGGGUGCGUGGAGGCCUAAC